AUUGAACGCUGGCGGCAUGCUUUACACAUGCAAGUCGAACGGCAGCGCGGGCUUCGGCCUGGCGGCGAGUGGCGAACGGGUGAGUAAUGCAUCGGAACGUGCCCAGUAGUGGGGGAUAGCCCGGCGAAAGCCGGAUUAAUACCGCAUACGACCUGAGGGUGAAAGCGGGGGACCGAAAGGCCUCGCGCUAUUGGAGCGGCCGAUGUCGGAUUAGCUAGUUGGUGGGGUAAAGGCUUACCAAGGCGACGAUCCGUAGCUGGUCUGAGAGGACGACCAGCCACACUGGGACUGAGACACGGCCCAGACUCCUACGGGGGGCAGCAGUGGGGAAUUUUGGACAAUGGGGGCAACCCUGAUCCAGCCAUGCCGCGUGCGGGAAGAAGGCCUUCUGGUUGUAAACCGCUUUUGUUCGGGAAGAAAUCCUCUGGGCUAAUACCCCGGGGGGAUGACGGUACCGGAAGAAUAAGCACCGGCUAACUACGUG
rnacentral:rRNA from 1 species